rnacentral:rRNA from 1 species
AUACAGAGGGAGCAAGCGUUAUUCGGAAUCACUGGGCGUAAAGGACGCGUAGGCGGGUUUGUAAGUCAGGUGUGGAAUCCUACAGCUCAACUGUAGAACUGCACUUGAAACUACAGACCUAGAGUAUGGAAGGGGCAGAUGGAAUUAGUGGUGUAGGGGUAAAAUCCGUAGAUAUCACUAGGAAUAACGAAAGCGAAGGCGAUCUGCUGGGACAUUUCUGACGCUGAGGCGUGAAAGCGUGGGGAGCAAACAGGAUUAGAAACCCUAGUAGUCC